rnacentral:rRNA from 1 species
GAUUAAGUUAUUAAGGGCGCACGGUGGAUGCCUUGGCACUAGAAGCCGAUGAAGGACGUUACUAACGACGAUAUGCUUUGGGGAGCUGUAAGUAAGCUUUGAUCCAGAGAUUUCCGAAUGGGGAAACCCAGCAUGAGUUAUGUCAUGUUAUCGAUAUGUGAAUACAUAGCAUAUCAGAAGGCACACCCGGAGAACUGAAACAUCUUAGUACCCGGAGGAAGAGAAAGAAAAUUCGAUUCCCUUAGUAGCGGCGAGCGAAACGGGAAGAGCCCAAACCAACAAGCUUGCUUGUUGGGGUUGUAGGACACUCUAUACGGAGUUACAAAAGACGACAUUAGACGAAUCAUCUGGAAAGAUGAAUCAAAGAAGGUAAUAAUCCUGUAGUCGAAAAUGUUGUCUCUCUUGAGUGGAUCCUGAGUACGACGGAGCACGUGAAAUUCCGUCGGAAUCUGGGAGGACCAUCUCCUAAGGCUAAAUACUCUCUAGUGACCGAUAGUGAACCAGUACCGUGAGGGAAAGGUGAAAAGCACCCCGGAAGGGGAGUGAAAUAGAACCUGAAACCGUGUGCUUACAAGUAGUCAGAGCCCGUUAAUGGGUGAUGGCGUGCCUUUUGUAGAAUGAACCGGCGAGUUACGAUUUGAUGCAAGGUUAAGCAGUAAAUGUGGAGCCGUAGCGAAAGCGAGUCUGAAUAGGGCGUUUAGUAUUUGGUCGUAGACCCGAAACCAGGUGAUCUACCCUUGGUCAGGUUGAAGUUCAGGUAACACUGAAUGGAGGACCGAACCGACUUACGUUGAAAAGUGAGCGGAUGAACUGAGGGUAGCGGAGAAAUUCCAAUCGAACCUGGAGAUAGCUGGUUCUCUCCGAAAUAGCUUUAGGGCUAGCCUCAAGUGAUGAUUAUUGGAGGUAGAGCACUGUUUGGACGAGGGGCCCCUCUCGGGUUACCGAAUUCAGACAAACUCCGAAUGCCAAUUAAUUUAACUUGGGAGUCAGAACAUGGGUGAUAAGGUCCGUGUUCGAAAGGGAAACAGCCCAGACCACCAGCUAAGGUCCCAAAAUAUAUGUUAAGUGGAAAAGGAUGUGGCGUUGCCCAGACAACUAGGAUGUUGGCUUAGAAGCAGCCAUCAUUUAAAGAGUGCGUAAUAGCUCACUAGUCGAGUGACACUGCGCCGAAAAUGUACCGGGGCUAAACAUAUUACCGAAGCUGUGGAUUGUCCUUUGGACAAUGGUAGGAGAGCGUUCUAAGGGCGUUGAAGCAUGAUCGUAAGGACAUGUGGAGCGCUUAGAAGUGAGAAUGCCGGUGUGAGUAGCGAAAGACGGGUGAGAAUCCCGUCCACCGAUUGACUAAGGUUUCCAGAGGAAGGCUCGUCCGCUCUGGGUUAGUCGGGUCCUAAGCUGAGGCCGACAGGCGUAGGCGAUGGAUAACAGGUUGAUAUUCCUGUACCACCUAUAAUCGUUUUAAUCGAUGGGGGGACGCAGUAGGAUAGGCGAAGCGUGCGAUUGGAUUGCACGUCUAAGCAGUAAGGCUGAGUAUUAGGCAAAUCCGGUACUCAUUAAGGCUGAGCUGUGAUGGGGAGAAGACAUUGUGUCUUCGAGUCGUUGAUUUCACACUGCCGAGAAAAGCCUCUAGAUAGAAAAUAGGUGCCCGUACCGCAAACCGACACAGGUAGUCAAGAUGAGAAUUCUAAGGUGAGCGAGCGAACUCUCGUUAAGGAACUCGGCAAAAUGACCCCGUAACUUCGGGAGAAGGGGUGCUCUUUAGGGUUAACGCCCAGAAGAGCCGCAGUGAAUAGGCCCAAGCGACUGUUUAUCAAAAACACAGGUCUCUGCUAAACCGUAAGGUGAUGUAUAGGGGCUGACGCCUGCCCGGUGCUGGAAGGUUAAGAGGAGUGGUUAGCUUCUGCGAAGCUACGAAUCGAAGCCCCAGUAAACGGCGGCCGUAACUAUAACGGUCCUAAGGUAGCGAAAUUCCUUGUCGGGUAAGUUCCGACCCGCACGAAAGGCGUAACGAUUUGGGCACUGUCUCAACGAGAGACUCGGUGAAAUCAUAGUACCUGUGAAGAUGCAGGUUACCCGCGACAGGACGGAAAGACCCCGUGGAGCUUUACUGUAGCCUGAUAUUGAAAUUCGGCACAGCUUGUACAGGAUAGGUAGGAGCCUUUGAAACGUGAGCGCUAGCUUACGUGGAGGCGCUGGUGGGAUACUACCCUAGCUGUGUUGGCUUUCUAACCCGCACCACUUAUCGUGGUGGGAGACAGUGUCAGGCGGGCAGUUUGACUGGGGCGGUCGCCUCCUAAAAGGUAACGGAGGCGCUCAAAGGUUCCCUCAGAAUGGUUGGAAAUCAUUCAUAGAGUGUAAAGGCAUAAGGGAGCUUGACUGCGAGACCUACAAGUCGAGCAGGGUCGAAAGACGGACUUAGUGAUCCGGUGGUUCCGCAUGGAAGGGCCAUCGCUCAACGGAUAAAAGCUACCCCGGGGAUAACAGGCUUAUCUCCCCCAAGAGUUCACAUCGACGGGGAGGUUUGGCACCUCGAUGUCGGCUCAUCGCAUCCUGGGGCUGUAGUCGGUCCCAAGGGUUGGGCUGUUCGCCCAUUAAAGCGGUACGCGAGCUGGGUUCAGAACGUCGUGAGACAGUUCGGUCCCUAUCCGUCGUGGGCGUAGGAAAUUUGAGAGGAGCUGUCCUUAGUACGAGAGGACCGGGAUGGACAUACCUCUGGUGUACCAGUUGUCGUGCCAACGGCAUAGCUGGGUAGCUAUGUGUGGACGGGAUAAGUGCUGAAAGCAUCUAAGCAUGAAGCCCCCCUCAAGAUGAGAUUUCCCAACUUCGGUUAUAAGAUCCCUCAAAGAUGAUGAGGUUAAUAGGUUCGAGGUGGAAGCAUGGUGACAUGUGGAGCUGACGAAUACUAAUCGAUCGAAGACUUAAUCAA